rnacentral:rRNA from 1 species
GAUGAACGCUGGCGGCGUGCCUAAUACAUGCAAGUAGAACGCUGAAGGAGGAGCUUGCUCUUCUGGAUGAGUUGCGAACGGGUGAGUAACGCGUAGGUAACCUGCCUGGUAGCGGGGGAUAACUAUUGGAAACGAUAGCUAAUACCGCAUGACAACAGUUAUUGCAUGAUAACUGUUUAAAAGGGGCAACUGCUCCACUACCAGAUGGACCUGCGUUGUAUUAGGUAGUUGGGGAGGUAACGGCUCACCAAGGCGACGAUGCAUACGCGACCGGAGAGGGGGGUCAGCCACACUGGGACGGAGACACGGCCCAGACGCCUACAGGAGGCAGCAGUAGGGAAUCUUCGGGAAGGGGCGGAAGACUGACCGAGAAACGCCGCGGGAGGGAAGAAGGGUGUCGGGUCGGAAAGGUCUGUUGUAAGGGAAGAAAGAGUGUGAGAGUGGAAAGUUCACGCUGUGACGGUAUCUUACCAGAAAGGGACGGCUAACUACGUG